AAGCUGAUUAAUAUAGCAUAUAAAUGGUUCUCUAAAAUAAUGUCACCCGAUAAAGAGUAGUAUAAAAGAAUAAUUAAAUUAGUAAAAAUUCAGUUUAAACUCAUUAACAAUGGAUUUCAAACAGGUUAUAUUCCUACUCGUUGCGGUGUCCCUGUUAAAUGUGACAAAUUCAUUGGAUCUAUAUCGUGUCACACUCAUUUUGACUAAAGUUACUGAUGGAAACAGCGAUGAAUGUUCAAGCGGAGCCAAUACUUCAGCCAAUUCUGUGGCAGCAUCGGAUGGUUCUGCUGUUGCUAAUGUUGGCCAGGUUGUGAAUGAAAUUGAGGUUCCUGAGGACUCUUAAUCAAAAAAACAUUCCAUUAAAUAAAGUUUUUAUAUUUUAACUGUCUCCGCAAAACUACGAGUUUUAGUAUGUAUAUAUUGUUUGCACAAUUAUUUACAUAUUUAUCACAUUAAUAAAGUGUUAUGAAUCGUA